rnacentral:piRNA from 1 species
UUGGUGGUCUAUUACUGGAAGCACUGGU